CAGGAGAUGGGUAUUGUUGUCAUCGCCAUUUCACAAAGGAGGAGACUGAGGGAGGCAGGUGAGUCCUCUGCUUGCCUAGGAGGGGGCAGUGCCAGACUUUGAAUAUGGUCAGCUUGAACAUUGAGUUGGUGUGCUCCAUGGCAACAUACCGGUUCCCAGCUCUUAAGACUCCUUUAACAAACUGUUGGGCAACUCGGCCCAAGACCAGGCACUUACCCUUUUGAGGACAAAUCUCGACAAGCUGCGAUCUGCUGU
rnacentral:lncRNA from 1 species